rnacentral:rRNA from 1 species
GAUGAACGCUGGCGGCGUGCCUAACACAUGCAAGUCGAACGGAGUCCAGCCUUUAAGACCUUCGGGUCAAAGAGGGGAAGACUGAGUGGCGGACGGGUGAGUAACACGUGGGCAACCUGGCUCAUAGAGGGGGAUAACAGAGAGAAAUUUCUGCUAAUACCGCAUAAGCACACACUGCCGCAUGGCAGAGGGUGAAAAGAGAAUCGCUAUGAGAUGGACCCGCGUCUGAUUAGCCAGUUGGCAGGGUAAGAGCCUACCAAAGCGACGAUCAGUAGCCGAUCUGAGAGGAUGAACGGCCACAUUGGGACUGAGACACGGCCCAAACUCCUACGGGAGGCAGCAGUGGGGGAUAUUGCACAAUGGGGGGAACCCUGAUGCAGCGACGCCGCGUGAGUGAAGAAAUAUUUCGGUAUGUAAAGCUCUAUCAGCAGGGAAGAUAAUGACAGUACCUGAAUAAGAAGCCCCGGCUAACUACGUG